AACGCACAUUGCGCCCGCCAGUAUUCUGGCGGGCAUGCCUGUCCGAGCGUCAUUUCAACCCUCAAGCCCCCGGGCUUGGUGCUGGGGAUCGGCCGUCACUGGCCGUCCCUCAAAUCGAUCGGCGGUCUCGCCGCAACCUCCUUCGCGUAGUAGCAACACCUCGCCCCGGAGCGCGCGCGCGGCCAUGCCGUAAAACCCCCAACUUCUGAAAGGUUGACCUCGGAUCAGGUAGGGAUACCCGCUGAACUUAA
rnacentral:misc_RNA from 1 species